GACGAACGCUGGCGGCGUGCUUAACACAUGCAAGUCGAACGGAAAGGCCCUGCUUUUGUGGGGUGCUCGAGUGGCGAACGGGUGAGUAACACGUGAGUAACCUGCCCUUGACUUUGGGAUAACUUCAGGAAACUGGGGCUAAUACCGGAUAGGAGCUCCUGCUGCAUGGUGGGGGUUGGAAAGUUUCGGCGGUUGGGGAUGGACUCGCGGCUUAUCAGCUUGUUGGUGGGGUAGUGGCUUACCAAGGGUUUGACGGGUAGCCGGCCUGAGAGGGUGACCGGCCACAAUGGGACUGAGAGACGGCGCAGACUCCUACGGGAGGCAGCAGUGGGGAGUAUGGCACAAUGGGCGGAAGCCUGAGGCAGCAACGCCGCGUGCGGGAUGACGGCCUUCGGGUUGUAAACCGCUUUCGCCUGUGACGAAGCGUGAGUGACGGUAAUGGGUAAAGAAGCACCGGCUAACUACGUG
rnacentral:rRNA from 1 species